UGACCUUGAAAUUGAGUAGGGGUGAGAGAGGUCUGUGAAACUGUAAAUUAAACAGUAGAACCAGCAUAAUUAGUUUUUCCACAUUUGAAGUGGAAAAGCUCACACAAUAUCAACUGGAUGUGUUUGUGUGCACAUAUGCUGUGGAAAAUAACUCUUUCUGCUUUUCAGAAUGGGACAAAAUGACCUAAAUCAGUAUUAUAGUAGAGAACAUGAGACAAUCUUUAAUGUCAAAGGGAUUACAACACCAUGGAAAUCUUAAUGCAUUGUAUAAAUGUGAGCACAGUGACCAAACAACAAAGUGAACACACUCCUUCUCAGGGAGCUAAUUUCCCUCUGCUGCUGAGUAAAUGUGUAUGUCACCUUAUGUCUGUGCACAUUUGUAUUGAACACACACGCACGCACGCGCACACACACACACACACACACACACACACACACACACACACACACACACACACACACACACACACACACACACACACACAUAAAUAUCCCUGGCCUCUCAGAUUGCUCCAAGAUUUAUUCCCCUGCCAAGGUAGCAGAAAAUUGACUUGUUUCAUGGAGGCAGGGUAUUGACACACUACAGAGGGGGAGAGAGGGGGAGGCUUAGACAGAAUGAGCACAGGCACCUGAGAUAGAUCCGAGAAAGGUAGGGUGAGGGUGAGGGUUAGAGAGGGAGAGAAAGACGAGGAGGGAAGGGAAACAAAGGAAAAAAAGAACAAGAGGCACUCAGUCAGCACAGAGGCCGAUUAAUGGAGGGCAGGUAAAGAGAAAAUGAAGGAAGGGUGAGUGAGGUGGGUGAUAGACUGAGAGAGAGAGUCUGUGAGAGUAAUGAAAUCAGCAGUGUGGGAAAUAGCUGUGAGUAAAACGGCCAGGCUGACAUUUAUAUAAGAGGAUAUUGAUGACAUGAAGCCACCUCUCUGAUAAAGCUGCUCAUUUAGCCAGUUCAUCAUUCACAGCCUGCAGAGACACCAUGCAGACCCACGCCCUGUGUGCACGUGUGUGUGUGUGUGUGUGUGUGUGUGUGUGUGUGUGUGUGUGUGUGUGUGUGUGUGUGUGUGUGUGUGUGUAUGUAUGUAUAUGCGCACAUCUGUUUGUUUAUUUAUCUCAGCGAGAACCUGUUUGUUUGGGUUGAAGUUUCUAUUGUGAAGACAUCCUUGGAGAGUUUAUGUAUAUGAUCACUGCGCUGAAAGAAAUGUCUGAGACAGUGGACACUUAACUUGUCUGAGGACUUUAAAUUCAACAAGAGGACAAUUAGGGGAAUGUGACAUGUAUGUAAAAGUGCUUUGAGUGGACAGAAGACUAGCGGAAGAGAGAUUUAAACACAGUCCAUUUAGUCCUGAGUUGGACCACAGAAACACAACUGGAGAACUGGCAGAAGUUGGUGUUGCCCUUCAGGUUCUUCAUCAGUGGAGCUGGAUUUUAUCUCACUUGAGAAAUUUUUCCAAUGAUAAUUAAGGACAGACAACCACUGGAUUAUGGAAACCAGUUAGGAAUCAGGAGAACCGCAAGAGUUGGGUAAUAAUACUGGUCUUCUCAAGUUUUCAAGUUUCUCCACGUACGUCUGUGAGCGCUCUCAAGGUGACUCACCUCACUGACUCACACAGUCUGAUAACUUUGAUGAUGUUACUUAGUGCUAAGACAUCACAUCUAUUGUUCCUGAUGAGUGGCAUCACAGUAGACAUCUGACUGCAAGUGCUCAAUAACCACCCACUCGAUCUAUACACCAACAUGAUAUCAUUAGGUUAGCUACUGAAGGUCUUUGUACUCACCCUCUGCACACAUAUCCUGUUCCAGACUCUUCACCUUGUCGUUCACCUUUCCCCUCUUGCAGUCCUCCAGUAUUAUUCUUUUAUUCAACCUCUCUGAAGGUCAGGGACCAAGUUCAGACACAUUUAUGUUUGUGGAAAUGAACAGCUGUUUCUGGACCGAAACUGAAGCUUGUGGAUGGAAUUAAGGACGCCACAUAGACUGGAGCCACUCUUUCUCUAAUACACACACGCACGCACGCACGCACGCACACACACACACACACACACACACAUCAUAGGUCACAGCCCACAUUAGCUCAAACAUAAAGAUCAACAUCU